UGGCUUCAGUGUCCUGAUCGCCUCCAGCGU
rnacentral:piRNA from 1 species